AGGAACAUGAAUACAAUCGCAUGCAAUAAUAUCAUACGGUAACUACCAUAAACUAACCACCAUUGGAGGGACAUAAGCUAAAACACUAUGGGUAUCCCUGCUGGCCCACACCCAACCCCGAUAGAGGCGUGCGAAGAACUAUAGGAGCCCCUAACCUACAACCCUGAUUCUAGACCUCCAGACUCUCAUAUCAAGGGUCAUGUCCUCGGAAACCUGCAUUCUAGUCAUGUCCAGCCUAAUCACCUCUCCCCAAUGCUUCUUAGGCCUCCCUCUUCCUCGCCGACCGCCAACAAUCUCCAGCCGCUCGCAGCUCCUCACCGGGGCAUCGGGNNN
rnacentral:lncRNA from 1 species